CUUCUCUCUGGAAUUUUCAGCCGCCGCCCCUCCCAAAUCCCCUUCUCCCUCACGUCUCUUUCUCUCCAUCCACUGCCGUUCUCAUUUCUUGCACGCAGCAGCAACACAAGCCGCACCCUCCUCCUCCUGCGGUAGGUCGGCGACCCCAUUCCCCUGCUCCUCUCAUGGCUGCCUCUCCUCCAUCCCCUCUCCAUCUUCUCCCAUAGUGAGCUCACCCUAGCCCUGCAUUUUUUUAUUUUAUUUUCCUGUAGCACGCCACCUCCAGCCCUCUUCCAUGGAUGACGAUUUUCUUUCCGGUAGCAAGAAGCCAUGGCGCCCCUCCUCCCCUUGUUUUCCAUGGAAACCCCAACCAUCUACUCCUCCCCAUGGCUGCGCCUCCCGUAGGUUUUCGUACAAUCGCAGCAGCAGCGGAUAUGGAAUCAUCUCAAUGUCGUGCCCACAGCAUGCUCAAUGAAAUGUCGCAGCGAGUUACACCUAGAUCUGUGCAGCCCUGGCCCGCGAUGUCGUGACCCUUGAAAUCUGAGGUCAAUUAGUGAAGAAGCGAGGCCCGUAUGUAUUGCUCGUCAAGUGUUCAGUCGAAGACUUCAAUCAAAUGUCGUCGUGGUUCGUGUGAUGAUCGAGUCAAAUUGCAAUAUGGUACGUUAAUUGAUCACAGAGUAUGGAGAAUAAGAGCUGAAUUGAUCUCAAGGUGAUACUGAUGGUUGCACCUAAGGAUGGAAGAUGCUCGCCAAGUGGUCGUCAUCUAACCACACUAAUCUAGUGUUAUCCCAGGCAAGUCCCGGUGCAUUUGCCACCUCCUUGCUGUUUUAAAUUUUUUAUCACUUAUAUGUUGCAUUAGGUGAUAGGAGUGGAGUGAUGAAACACUUGAUGCAUUGCCAUUCCUUGGAAUUUGAUUAUCUUCCUUGAUACCUGUUUUAUAAAGAGAACUAAUGAGGCUUAGCCCUGCUUAGAAAAACUAAAGGUUGUUUCUUUUAAAAAGAAUGAUGUGGAACACUGUUAUGGGCUUUUGUUUUAGAAAUCAAAGCAAACUUAUGGUGAUGAUUCCCCUUCGGCCCGAAUGGGUUCAUCAUUCAGUAAAGAGUACCCCUGCCAGGUACCAAAAAUGGGGAAAUGGUUUGAAUAAAUCUAGACCAGACGCUGAGUAGGAAAAGUCGCCCAUUUGUGUCGCUUAAGGACCGCAUGAUUGUUGGCCUGCUGAUCUAGGACCCUUUAACUGGCCACAUGCCUCAUCAUGGGUAAGCUUAGCCUCGG